GACGAACCGAGCGAACGUUGUUCGGAAUCACUGGGCUUAAAGGGCGCGUAGGCGGGCAUUCAAGUCUGUGGUGAAAUCCGGCAGCUUAACUGUCGAAUUGCCAUGGAUACUGGGUGUCUCGAGGGAGGCAGGGGUGCGCGGAACUAAUGGUGGAGCGGUGAAAUGCGUUGAUAUCAUUAGGAACUCCGGUGGCGAAGGCGGCGCACUGGUCCUUUUCUGACGCUGAGGCGCGAAAGCCAGGGGAGCAAACGGG
rnacentral:rRNA from 1 species